rnacentral:tRNA from 1 species
AGCGGGGUAGAGCAGCGGCAGCUCGCGAGGCCCAUAACCUCGAGGACGCAGGUUCGAAUCCUGCCCCCGCAA